CAGCAGCCGCGGUAAUGCGAAGGGGGCUAGCGUUGCUCGGAAUGACUGGGCGUAAAGGGCGCGUAGGCGGAAUGCUUUGUCGGGCGUGAAAUUCCAGGGCUUAACCUUGGGGCUGCGUUCGAGACGGGUAUUCUAGAGUGGAGAAGAGGGUCGUGGAAUUCCCAGUGUAGAGGUGAAAUUCGUAGAUAUUGGGAAGAACACCGGUGGCGAAGGCGGCGACCUGGUCUUUUACUGACGCUGAGGCGCGAAAACGUGGGGAGCAAACAGGAUUAGAUACCCCGGUAGUCCCUGUCUCUUAUAC
rnacentral:rRNA from 1 species